rnacentral:lncRNA from 1 species
CCCCCACUACCGCAGGACCCCCCGCAGCCGCUGUAUCCCAUCAUCCCAUGUUUCCCAAUGACUCCCCCAUUGCCCCCCAAUUCCCUCCCACUCCCCACACGCCGCCCGUACCCCCCCGUAGCCCCAGCGCCCGCCCCGCCCACUCACCCCCCGCGCUCUCUCCGGGGCUCCCGGGGGUUCCACUUUUGGGGGUGGGCGGUCCCACAGGGAAGGGGCGUGGCCCGCACAGGGGGCAGAGGGGCGUGGCCAACUCAGCCCCCGCCCCUUCGGACAGCGACCUCCGUGCGCGCUGCCGCCCCCGCCCCUCAGCCCCUCCCCCCGGGCACAGACAGGGAGGGGGAGGGGCCAAGCUGGGGCGGCGCUGGAGGGCGUGGCCUAAAUGGGCGUGGCUAUGGGGCGCCAUGGGUGUUUGGGUGCCCUGGGGCACGUGGGCGCUCUGGGGUGUCACAGUGCUGCUGUAGUUUGCGCUAUGGGGUGAUGGGCUGCUGUGGGGUGUCGAGGGGCUGUAGGCACUUUGGGUGCUAUGGGGCACAUGAACACUAUGGGGCGCUGAGGUGCUGCUAUGGGGUAUCACAGUGCUGCUGUAGGGUGUCAGUGUGCUAUGGGGUGGUGGGCUGCUAUAGGGCGCUGGGGUGCUAUGGAGUGUUGAGGGGCUAUGGGGCAUAUGUGUGCUGUAGUCACUUUGGGUGCUGUAGGACGGUUGGGUGCUAUGGGAUGCCAGAGUGCUGCUAUAGGGUGCCAGGGAGCUAUGGGGUGGUGGGCUGCUAUAGGGUGCCAGGGUGCUAUGGGGCAUUGGGGUCCCCUGUGGGGCACCGGGGGGGCUCUCCUCCUGCCCCCCCCCCAGCCCGCAGCCCCCCAGCAGCUGCUCCAGCUCCCAGCGCUCUGCGGCCGUGGGGGGUGAGGGGCGCCCGGUGGGGCUCUGCGGUGGCGGGGAUUCUGCCGUGGAGGGGUCCUCCUCCCAUGGGGCGCCCCCGGCGGCCCCCCUGUCUUGCGCAAGGGUGCGGGGGCUCUCGUCCUGCGGCCCCCCCGUCUCCGUCAGGUCUGUGGGAACAUGGCACCGUCGGGGGGCGGGAGGGGCCCCAUGAGCCCGCUGAACCCCCCCAGGGUUCAGAGCCCCGUGGGACUGGGGUCCCACUGAACUUCGGGGUCCCGCCGGGAUCCCCUUGGUUCCCAUUGGGUCCCGCUGCAUCCCACCGGGAUCGCUCUGCGGUCCCACUGUGAUCCCAUCCCAAGGUCACGUCAGGGUCCCGUGGGGGUGGGGUGGGGGUGGGGGGUCCCGCACCGUCGCUGCUGUCCUGGUGCCGCGCAUUGAAGCCGUGGAAGGAGUCGCGCCGCACCACGGGGUCCCACGUGCACAGGUCCACGCACACAGCACCACGGGGGGCGGCCCAGUCUGGGGGAGGUGGGGUUAUGGGGGGUGGGGCUAUGGGGUUAUUAUGGGCUGUGGGGCGGCCCCCCCUCACCUUCCACCUUGUCAGGACUGGAGGAGAACACGAACUCCACGGCGGCGUCGGG